GAUGAACGCUGGCGGCGUGCCUAAUACAUGCAAGUCGAGCGAACGGACGAGAAGCUUGCUUCUCUGAUGUUAGCGGCGGACGGGUGAGUAACACGUGGAUAACCUACCUAUAAGACUGGGAUAACUUCGGGAAACCGGAGCUAAUACCGGAUAAUAUUUUGAACCGCAUGGUUCAAAAGUGAAAGACGGUCUUGCUGUCACUUAUAGAUGGAUCCGCGCUGCAUUAGCUAGUUGGUAAGGUAACGGCUUACCAAGGCAACGAUGCAUAGCCGACCUGAGAGGGGUAUCGGCCACACUGGAACUGAGACACGGUUCAGACCCCUACGGGAGGCAACAGUAGGGAAUCUUCCGCAAUGGGCGAAAGCCUGACGGAGCAACGCCGCGUGAGUGAUGAAGGUCUUCGGAUCGUAAAACUCUGUUUUUAGGGAAGAACAUAUGUGUAAGUAACUGUGCACAUCUUGACGGUACCUAAUCAGAAAGCCACGGCUAACUACGUG
rnacentral:rRNA from 1 species